AAACCAACUAGGUUGGAUUGUGAGCCCGUGAAAACAAUCGGUUGGUUCUAGUCGGUGAGCCUGUGAAAACCGACCGAGUUCGUUGUGAUCUCGCAAAACAACAAGUUGGGUUGUGAGCUUGUAAAACAACCGACUGUAAUCUAAGGGGUUAUAGUGAAAUUCCCAAGAGGUCUUGGGGAGUGGAUGUAGGUGCUGGGGUGCACCGAACCACUAUACAUCUUUGUGUUUGUGAUGCUUUAUCUCCUGUAUUUCAUGCCUUCCAUUCAUGCUUGAUUGUGUAAUAUCUCUAGAUUUGUUUCUAUAGAGUUAUAAGUGAUUUGCUUAGCUUCCACUCCAUUCUUACCAUACACAUAGAUUAAAAUUGAUCAUACAACUAUAAGUUAAUGUUAGAUCAAUUGCACCCUAAACCC
rnacentral:lncRNA from 1 species